AACGAACGCUGGCGGCAUGCCUAACACAUGCAAGUCGAACGAGACCUUCGGGUCUAGUGGCGCACGGGUGCGUAACGCGUGGGAACCUGCCCUUAGGUUCGGAAUAACUCCCCGAAAGGGGUGCUAAUACCGGAUAAUGUCUUCUGACCAAAGAUUUAUCGCCUUUGGAUGGGCCCGCGUUGGAUUAGCUGGUUGGUAAGGUAACAGCCUACCAAGGCGACGAUGCGUAGCCGACCUGAGAGGGUGCUUAGCCACACUGGAACUGAGACACGGCCCAGACUCCUACGGGAGGCAGCAGUAGGGAAUCUUCCGCAAGGGGCGAAAGCCUGACGGAGCAACGCCGCGUGAGGGAUGAAGGUCUUCGGAUCGUAAAACUCUGUUAUUAGGGAAGAACAAAUGUGUAAGUAACUAUGCACGUCUUGACGGUACCUAAUCAGAAAGCCACGGCUAACUACGUG
rnacentral:rRNA from 1 species